rnacentral:rRNA from 1 species
UACAGAGGUCUCAAGCGUUGUUCGGAUUCAUUGGGCGUAAAGGGUGCGUAGGUGGCGCGCUAAGUCAGGUGUGAAAUUUCGGAGCUUAACUCCGAAACUGCAUUUGAUACUGGCGUGCUUGAGGACUGGAGAGGAGACUGGAAUUCUCGGUGUAGCAGUGAAAUGCGUAGAUAUCGAGAAGAACGCUCGUGGCGAAAGCGAGAUCCUGGGCAGCCUCUGACGCUGAGGCACGAAGGCCAGGGGAGCAAACGGG